rnacentral:rRNA from 1 species
UACGUAGGGGGCUAGCGUUGUUCGGAAUUACUGGGCGUAAAGCGCUCGUAGGCGGACUACUAAGUCAGGGGUGAAAUCCCGGGGCUCAACCCCGGAACUGCCUUUGAUACUGAUAGUCUCGAGUCCGGAAGAGGUGAGUGGAAUUCCGAGUGUAGAGGUGAAAUUCGUAGAUAUUCGGAGGAACACCAGUGGCGAAGGCGGCUCACUGGUCCGGUACUGACGCUGAGGUGCGAAAGCGUGGGGAGCAAACAGG